GACGAACCGUGCGAACGUUAUUCGGAAUCACUGGGCUUAAAGCGCGUGUAGGCGGGCCGGCACGUCGGUCGCUGAAAUCCCCCGGCUCAACCGGGGAAGGGGCGCCGAUACGACCGACCUGGAGGGGGGUAGGGGGAGCCGGAACUUCCGGUGGAGCGGUGAAAUGCGUUGAGAUCGGAAGGAACGCCCGUGGCGAAAGCGGGCUCCUGGACCCCACCUGACGCUGAGACGCGAAAGCCAGGGGAGCGAACGGG
rnacentral:rRNA from 1 species